rnacentral:rRNA from 1 species
UACAGAGGGUGCGAGCGUUGUUCGGAAUUAUUGGGCGGAAAGGGCGCGUAGGCGGUGCGGUAAGUCACCUGUGAAAUCUCCUGGCUCAACUGGGAGCUUGCAGGCGAAACUGCCGUGCUGGAGUGUGGGAGAGGUGCGUGGAAUUCCCGGUGUAGCGGUGAAAUGCGUAGAGAUGUGGAGGAACACCAGUGGCGAAGGCGACUCUUUGGCCUGUAACUGACGCUGAGGCGCGAAAGCGUGGGGAGCAAACAGG